GGAGAGAUACUCAAGAGGCCGAAGAGGACGGUUUGCUAAACCGUUAGAUGGCGUCAGCCAUGCGAGGGUUCGAAUCCCUCUCUCUCCGCCA
rnacentral:tRNA from 1 species